rnacentral:rRNA from 1 species
AGUGAACGCUGGCGGCAGGCCUAACACAUGCAAGUCGAACGGACACACGGUAAGCUUUCGCCUUUACCGGUGGCGGCUGGCGGGCGGGUAACGCGUACAUCGGCUACUUCUUUUUCGGGGGGGAUUACGUAGAGCCGCUUCUGCUAAUGUAGCAUAUGUUGUACCGCAGAAUGCAGUGGUUCUUUGCAGCUUUCCUGUCUCACAUAGAUGAGGCCGGAUUCGCUUGGUGAGGGGGUAAAGGCCCACCAAGGCGACGCUCCGUAGCUGACCUGAGAGGAUGAUCGGCCACACUGGAACUGAGACACGGUCCAGACUCCUACGGGAGGCAGCAGUGGGGAAUAUUGGACAAUGGGCGCAAGCCUGAUGCAGCCAUGCCGCGUGGGUGAAGAAGGCCUUCGGGUUGUAAAGCCCUUUUGUUGGGAAAGAAAAGCAGCAGGAUUAUACCCCGCUGUUCUGACGGUACCCAAAGAAUAAGCACCGGCUAACUUCGUG